CGAACCUUUCGGGGUUAGUGGCGGACGGGUGAGUAACACGUGGGAACGUGCCUUUAGGUUCGGAAUAACUCAGGGAAACUUGUGCUAAUACCGAAUGUGCCCUUCGGGGGAAAGAUUUAUCGCCUUUAGAGCGGCCCGCGUCUGAUUAGCUAGUUGGUUGAGGUAAUGGCUCACCAAGGCGACGAUCAGUAGCUGGUCUGAGAGGAUGAUCAGCCACAUUGGGACUGAGACACGGCCCAAACUCCUACGGGAGGCAGCAGUGGGGAAUCUUGCGCAAUGGGCGAAAGCCUGACGCAGCCAUGCCGCGUGAAUGAUGAAGGUCUUAGGAUUGUAAAAUUCUUUCACCGGGGACGAUAAUGACGGUACCCGGAGAAGAAGCCCCGGCUAACUUCGUGCCAGCAGCCGCGGUAAUACGAAGGGGGCUAGCGUUGCUCGGAAUUACUGGGCGUAAAGGGAGCGUAGGCGGACAUUUAAGUCAGGGGUGAAAUCCCGGGGCUCAACCUCGGAAUUGCCUUUGAUACUGGGUGUCUUGAGUAUGAGAGAGGUGUGUGGAACUCCGAGUGUAGAGGUGAAAUUCGUAGAUAUUCGGAAGAACACCAGUGGCGAAGGCGACACACUGGCUCAUUACUGACGCUGAGGCUCGAAAGCGUGGGGAGCAAACAGGAUUAGAUACCCUGGUAGUCCACGCCGUAAACGAUGAUUGCUAGUUGUCGGGAUGCAUGCAUUUCGGUGACGCAGCUAACGCAUUAAGCAAUCCGCCUGGGGAGUACGGUCGCAAGAUUAAACUCAAGGAAUUGACGGGGGCCCGCACAAGCGGUGGAGCAUGUGGUUUAAUUCGAAGCAAACGCGCAGAACCUUACCACCUUUUGACAUGCCCGGACGGCC
rnacentral:rRNA from 1 species